UCCUGUAGCUAAGCGGUAAAGCUCCCAAAUCAUAAUUGGUUGAUUGCUGGUUCGAAUCCAUUACAGGAGACA
rnacentral:tRNA from 1 species